GCGGCAGCAGGGUUGGGCUCUCGCCGUGAGUCGACGAAGGGAGCGCGGGCGCGCGCCCGCGUCCGCGCACUGAGAGUCGCCUCGGCCGCUCGCUUUCUCGACUCCCGCCUCGCGCCUCGAUCCUGUUCCGCCUCCCUCGGCCCUCCUGCCCGCCCCCACUCGUCGGCCCUCAGCUCAGAGACCUAAUAGGAUGGGGUCUUAGAGAAACAUCUUUUGAGCCACAGACUUCUUUGUUACCAGAAGGAAAAUGAAAGAAGAAAUUUAAAUACCACUUGAAGAGAGGUAAAUAAAUGAGAAAUGGGGCUGAGAGGGCGGGUAUUUUUUUAAAAAUUCAUUAAAUGGAAAAAUCCACAAAUGUUAAUUCUGGUAGAUUUCUUAGAAAUUACAUCAGAGGAGCAUGCUUGGUCUUCCCACCCUCAUUAGGCCUCAGUGACAGGUACUUGAACAACUGAGCCCCUAAUGUGCAUGCUCCCCCACCCCUGAAGCCAGUCUCUGCCCUCCUCUUCCCUCCUCUUGCCCCUGGAAGCUGAUCGCCACCAACUGGCCUCUGGGUGGAUUUGGCCAAUGGAAGCACCUGUAGAGGGAAGAGAGUGAGGUUAGGAUAUUUCUUCCUGCUGUCUCCGUGCUUCCCUGCAGAGAGUGUGAAGAAAUGACCCUGAAAAGCCUCUGGCAGAGGAUUCUUCUUUCAGGAUGGUGUCGCCUCCUCAGCAGCCCAUCCUCCUCCCCUGGACUCAAGCUCUCAUUCCAGUAACACUCCUUCCUCCUUCUCCAUCUUCAGGGGGAGGUUUGCCAGUCGGUGGGUUCUAAGCAUAUCUCGCUGAUUCCCCCCAACCCUGCCGACACCUCUGUAGGUCGUCCCUUCAUUAAAAUCUCUCCAUUUGAACUAUCUGAGUUUAAUUCCAUUUCCUCCUGGUAUCUCAGUGAUACACGGUAUCAGUACAAAAAUCUCGCUUCACCUUCAGAACCAACAGAUUUGAGACAUUUUAUCCUCUGUGGAACCAUUAGUUAUUUUGUCAUUGGUUGUAUCAGAAAAAAAAAUCAGGAAUGCAAAUCCUUCUUUAUUACAGAUUCAGAUUUGCAUAUUACCAAUGUUAUAUAUUUUAAACAAAACUAUUCAUCAUAAGUUUUAAAAAUUAACUACUGGAGUAGUUAAUGAAUCUGAAUGUAAUUAUGUAGCUUUCAUAAUAUUAAAGUAAAAAUACUAAAAGAAGUAUUUCUUAAAGAAGCAAAUGCUCAAUCUCCAAGUAAAUUUUAUUCUAUGCUCUUCCGGUAUAAGAAUAUGUUAAUAUCUUGAAAAAUAUCAUAUUAUUUUGUGAACUCAUAAAGCUAUUUUGAGUUUUUGUAAAAUGAAAACCUUACCAAAAUGUAUUUUAUUGUUGGAAAGCUUGACCGUUACUGCUGUUUAAUUUUUUGAGCUUGUAAACUUUAUUUGUGCAUGUUUUCAACAAAGAAGGAUUUUAUUGUUAUUACAUAAAACAGGUGAUUUCUAGAUUUUAAAAUCACAAAUUGAAAGCAAGGCACAAUAAUAUAUAUUUCAAGAUAUAGGUACUUAGGAGGCAUCCUUUUAGUCAUCUGUUCAAUGUAGCCAUCUAUUUUACACCUACUGUCUACUAUUGUUUGAGGUCCUUGCCAAAGUAUUGCAGGCUAGUUAGGAAACAUAAAACAAUUAGAAAGUAAUCUAUGACAAGUAAGCUAUCUAUAAAUGGCAAUGAAGGGUAGAACAAAUUCAAUGAAAAUAUCUAUUUAAUCCUAGUGUUUACUGGUCUAGAAGAAUAGGCUGAGUAAAUUAGUAUUUCUCUGGCUGUUGUGGUAACACAUUGCAUGCUAUAACAGUUUUAAGUAAUUACAGGUGCAUUGAAAUUUAUCUAUGGCUUUGUCAUCAUAUUCUAAAAUGUCAUGAGUACUUUUUUCUGACCUCAAUUACUAUGAAAUUGGUUUCCAAUAUUUAAUUAACCAAGAAUAUCAAGUCUAUAGGGUAUUAUUAAGGUGAGACUUCUGUAGCCUUUUCAAUAAAGACCAGAAUUUUGGAGUGCCUUGAACCUUAAUCAUUGAUCUUUAAUUCUUAUUAAGUCAACUGCCCACCUUUUAAAGACUGAGGCCCAGGAAGAGUAAGUUUCUCUGAGACAAUGCAUACAGUACAGUGCUUCUUGGGUAUUGGCUCUAAGACCAGAUGCAAAGAAAGGCUAAAAUCCCAUUUCAUUGUUCAUUAGGUGAGAACCCUUUGUUAAGCUGUGUAACCUCUGUGCAUAGUUUCCUCAUCAGCAAAGUCAGAAAAAGUAUGUACCUGAAGGACUGAUUGUAAGGCUGGGAUGAGAGAAUCCAUGUGAUCAGCCCUCACCAACAGGUGCUGCCCAGUUCAUGAGUGCUGCUGCUGUCCUGCCCAAGUACCCAGCUUGCAGAGUGCCAGAGUUAGAGUCCCAGGGGUGUUCUCCACAGCUGCAUGCUUGAUCCAGGCCUAUCAGGUGUUAUUUGUUGACGGAACCAGGCAUCAUCAGCAAACAAAACUGACAAAGCUUCCUGCCCUCUGUGGAAGGCAUCUGAGGAAGAGACUGGAUUUUGUAGCAACAUGUUAUUCUCAUUAUAAACUUUAUCAUUGGAAUACUAAAGCCAAAUCAUCCCCCAUCUCCUUGAUCAGGAUACCCACUUAAUCUAGGCAGCUACACAAUUGUGAGAGCCUUUGUUUUUUUCUGCUGAAACAUCCUUAAAAAGAUACCUCACAACCCAAGAUUUGGCUUUUCUUAAAUACGAUUUUUAAUUUUUUUCAUUUCUAUCUAGAGAUUUAAUUGGAAAUGGAAAAUCAUCAAUUUUCCAAUUAAAUGUCUGUUCCAAUCAACAUUAUACCUUUUAGGUUGUCAUUGUCAUUUUUAAGUUUAAGCAACUUUAAGGAUUUUGAAUCUGGCUGCCUGUAAAUUAAAGGUGAAAGUAAUCAUUGUGUUGGAUUGGAACAUUUUGUCAAUUGAGAGUGGUUUCCUUGUUCUUAGUGUAUGAAAAGUUUAUUUUUCUAAUGU
ensembl:lncRNA novel transcript, antisense to CBLN1